rnacentral:rRNA from 1 species
AUGAACGCUGGCGGCGUGCCUAAUACAUGCAAGUCGAGCGAACAGAUAAGGAGCUUGCUCCUUUGACGUUAGCGGCGGACGGGUGAGUAACACGUGGGAAACCUACCUAUAAGACUGGGAUAACUUCGGGAAACCGGAGCUAAUACCGGAUAAUAUUUCGAACCGCAUGGUUCGAUAGUGAAAGAUGGUUUUGCUAUCACUGAUAGAUGGACCCGCGCCGUAUUAGCUAGUUGGUAAGGUAACGGCUUACCAAGGCGACGAUACGUAGCCGACCUGAGAGGGUGAUCGGCGACACUGGAACUGAGACACGGUCCAGACUACUACGGGAGGCAGCAGUAGGGAAUCGUCCGCAAUGGGCGAAAGCCUGACGGAGCAACGCGGCGUGAGUGAUGAAGGUCUUCGGAUCGUAAAACUCUGUUAUUAGGGAAGAACAUACGUGUAAGUAACUGUGCACGUCUUGACGGUACCUAAUCAGAAAGCCACGGCUAACUACGUG